GACGAACGCUGGCGGCGUGCCUAAUACAUGCAAGUAGAACGCUGAAGGAGGAGCUUGCUUCUCCGGAUGAGUUGCGAACGGGUGAGUAACGCGUAGGUAACCUGCCUGGUAGCGGGGGAUAACUAUUGGAAACGAUAGCUAAUACCGCAUAAGAGCAGAUGUCGCAUGACAUUUGCUUAAAAGGUGCAACUGCACCACUACCAGAUGGACCUGCGUUGUAUUAGCUAGUUGGUGAGGUAACGGCUCACCAAGGCAACGAUACAUAGCCGACCUGAGAGGGUGAUCGGCCACACUGGGACUGAGACACGGCCCAGACUCCUACGGGAGGCAGCAGUAGGGAAUCUUCGGCAAUGGACGGAAGUCUGACCGAGCAACGCCGCGUGAGUGAAGAAGGUUUUCGGAUCGUAAAGCUCUGUUGUAAGAGAAGAACGAGUGUGAGAGUGGAAAGUUCACACUGUGACGGUAUCUUACCAGAAAGGGACGGCUAACUACGUG
rnacentral:rRNA from 1 species